AUUGAACGCUGGCGGCAGGCUUAACACAUGCAAGUCGAGCGGGGUGAUGGUGCUUGCAUUAUCACUUAGCGGCGGACGGGUGAGUAAUGCUUAGGAAUCUGCCUAUUAGUGGGGGACAACAUCUCGAAAGGGAUGCUAAUACCGCAUACGUCCUACGGGAGAAAGCAGGGGAUCACUUGUGACCUUGCGCUAAUAGAUGAGCCUAAGUCGGAUUAGCUAGUUGGUGGGGUAAAGGCCUACCAAGGCGACGAUCUGUAGCGGGUCUGAGAGGAUGAUCCGCCACACUGGGACGGAGACACGGCCCAGACUCCUACGGGAGGCAGCAGUGGGGAAUAUCGGACAAUGGGGGGAACCCUGAUCCAGCCAUGCCGCGUGUGUGAAGAAGGCCUUAUGGUUGUAAAGCACUUUAAGCGAGGAGGAGGCUCUUUUGGUUAAUACCCAAGAUGAGUGGACGUUACUCGCAGAAUAAGCACCGGCUAACUCUGUGCCAGCCGCCGCCGUAA
rnacentral:rRNA from 1 species